ACCGCUAUCACCGUAUCAUAGUUAUAUUUUUAGGGAAUUGGUAUAAAUAUAUGUCAAAAUACGUGACGUUUGCCAUGCAAGGAAACAGCAAUUAUCAUCCUAUAUUUUGCCACAUGUUGGUCAAACUCUCGCUCGAUUUCGCACGAUACAAACAAUUUUCGAGAACCCUUGCUCGAUAUCUAAUUAAAGUCUUCGAGAACACUCGCUCGCUAAUUUUCGAGAACACUCGCUCGAUAUCAAAUUUUUCGAGAACGCUCGCUCGCUUCGCGCUCGCAUACUCGCAACUCGCAGAUUUCUCGUUAGGGGUCAAAUCGCGCUCGAUAGCCUCUCGCUCGAACUCGCAACUCGCUCGUUACACGAUGUUAACUUUCAUUAGGGCUGUACUGUAGUU